GGGGAUAUGGCGGAAUGGUAGACGCUACGGACUUAAAAUCCGUUGAUUUGCAAAAAUCGUGGGGGUUCAAGUCCCCCUUUCCCCA
rnacentral:tRNA from 1 species